rnacentral:rRNA from 1 species
AUGGAGCAAGGUCGUGGCGCUGCCGCCGCUGCGCAUGGAGUUGUGGUCGAGGCCGUGAACACCGCAGCAGAUGCCGUCCAAGAAGUGGCCGCCGUCGGCGGUGCGGGAGAUGUUGUACCCGCAGUCGCUGGUGCGGUCGCUGUGGCGGCGGAUCUGGUGGAGCAGGGGGUGGUGGGCUCGGACUCCGUCGUGCCGGACCUGGUGGUGACGGCGUCUGGCGGCGCACUGGAUGUAGGUGCGGAGGCGAGCGACAAGCAGGUGGUGGAUGUGGAAGAGGAAGCUGCUGGCACCAAGAGGAAGCUGGCCAUCACUGGGUUCAACGACCCGUAUGAUUCUGACUAUGACGACGACGACAACGUGUAUGAGUACAAGUCUGGAGAUGAGGUGGACGAUUGGAACCAAGAGUCCUUCAUUGAGCAUGAAGCCGAGAAGAUCAGAGAGAAGGGGAAGGUGGCGUACUACAAGUGGGGCAAGUUCAGGUGCCCAUAUUGCACCACUAAGCCAAUUCCCAAGGAUGGGUUGUAUGAGCACCUUAUGUUGCAUGCACGCGGUUUAGCGACGAGUGGGAACCACGUGAAGAUCAGGGUAGAGCAUGCAACCCUCCUGAAGGCUAUGGGUACCAUCUAG